rnacentral:rRNA from 1 species
UACGUAGGGUCCGAGCGUUGUCCGGAAUUACUGGGCGUAAAGAGCUCGUAGGUGGUUUGUCGCGUUGUUCGUGAAAACUCACAGCUUAACUGUGGGCGUGCGGGCGGAUACGGGCAGACUAGAGUACUGCAGGGGAGACUGGAAUUCCUGGUGUAGCAGUGGAAUGCGCAGAUAUCAGGAGGAACACCGGUGGCGAAGGCGGGUCUCUGGGCAGUAACUGACGCUGAGGAGCGAAAGCGUGGGGAGCGAACAGG